AUUGAACGCUGGCGGCAUGCUUUACACAUGCAAGUCGAACGGUAACAGGUUAAGCUGACGAGUGGCGAACGGGUGAGUAAUGCAUCGGAACGUGCCCGAUCGUGGGGGAUAACGCAGCGAAAGCUGCGCUAAUACCGCAUACGAUCUGAGGAUGAAAGCGGGGGACCGUAAGGCCUCGCGCGAUCGGAGCGGCCGAUGUCAGAUUAGGUAGUUGGUGGGGUAAAGGCUCACCAAGCCAACGAUCUGUAGCUGGUCUGAGAGGACGACCAGCCACACUGGGACUGAGACACGGCCCAGACUCCUACGGGAGGCAGCAGUGGGAAUUUUGGACGAUGGGCGAAAGCCUGAUCCAGCAAUGCCGCGUGCAGGAAGAAGGCCUUCGGGUUGUAAACUGCUUUUGUACGGAGCGAAAAGGCCCUCUCUAAUACAGUGGGCUCAUGACGGUACCGUAAGAAUAAGCACCGGCUAACUACGUGCCAGCAGCCGCAGUAAGAC
rnacentral:rRNA from 1 species